GUCUACGGCCAUGCCACCCUGAACAAGCCCGAUGUCUGAUCUCGGAAGCUAAGCAGGGUCGGGCUUGGUUAGUACUUGGAUGGGAGACCACCUAGGAAGAUCAGGCUUAAAUA
rnacentral:rRNA from 1 species